rnacentral:rRNA from 1 species
ACGUCUCAGUUCGGAUCGGAGUCUGCAACCCGACUCCGUGAAGCUGGAUUCGCUAGUAAUCGCGCAUCAGCAUGGCGCGGUGAAUACGUUCCCGGGCCUUGUACACACCGCCCGUCAAGCCAUGGGAGCCGGGGUACCUGAAGUCCGUAACCGAAAGGAUCGGCCUAGGGUAAAACUGGUGACUGGGGCUAAGUCGUAACAAGGUAAC